UUACAAAGCUAUAGCCAAUUUAGUACUCAUAAUGUGUUUGUUUUCAUCCCACUGUGUUUCAAUUCUGAAAAGCACACCAGGAAACAAAGUGUUUUCACAUGUGAAGAGACGAAGAGAUACAGAAAUUGUAGCAAUUAAUAGCUCUUCCAAUAAACUGAGCUUUCAAGGAGAAGACAUCAUCAGCAAUGUUGACUGGAAGAGGAGUACAUGAAAACUGGGACCUUAGAUGGGCCAACAAAGGCACAAAUACUAUUUCCACAGUCUACACAGUUUUUCCAUCCAGUAGAAAGGCAACAGAUCAACUGUGUCAUUCCACAACAUUCUCAGCAUGCCAUACAAAAUGUCUUAUCACUUGGAGCUUUGGAGAAAAGGAAACUAUUAAGUUACUCCAUCAUCAGAAAGCAAAUAAUAAUCUUUUUGAGGACAGAUUGCUAGAGAAGACAUUAGCAGGAAAACAGAUUUUUCUUAGGCAGAAGACAGCUUAAUUGUCAUUGGCUUGUAAAUCAAGGAUAUGUGAAUAUUUGCAUUUUUAUUGUUGAUAAUCUAAUAUUUGUAAAAAGAUGUUACUUGUUCUUUUUUUCAGUGACUUGGCAAAUAUGACAGAAAAUUAAGUUUUAGGGUAUUUCUGAAGGCACUCUGGUAGUGAAUUUAUCCCUAAGGCAGUACCAUAUGGUCAAACAAAUCUUCAACAGGAAAGGUUUCAGCCAAUUUUUUCAGAUGUUAACAUGCUUUAUUUUGCACACUGAAGUACAGCACGUGAUGAUAACAGGUGCUACUAAAAUGCUAGUAGGGAAUUUUUGGAUGAAUUUGGGUUAGAAAAAGAAUCCUGAGGUGCAGCACUGGUGUACUUCUGCAUCCAGCCAUCACCUCUUGCUUGAUUCACAGCACCUCACAGCUAAACACUCUAGGAAGCUUGAUUUGUCGUUAAUCAUAAAUACCUGCAGCAAUAUCAAAUGCAGUGGUCUUAUUUUCUUUCAUUAAGUAGCUGUACCUAAUGUACUGGAGUGAGGGUAAAAAGAGACCUCCUAGCUUGUGUGCUUGAUGAGCACACAAGGAGAAGACCUCCAAGGUUGUGCUUGAUGUGUGGGAGAGGGCAAAGUUGGGAACCAGCAGCCUGAAGGUGAGGGAACAACAACCUCUCCAUGGUGGAAAGAGUAAUAAAAGAAAGUGAGAGGAGAAAAACUGGAGCCCCAGGGCCCUCAGUGGGACUAUGUGAAGGCAAGAGCAGCAGCCUCUCUUUUGCUGGUUCUGAGAAGAAGAUAUUGUCUGUACUCUGUUCACGUAUCAAAACAAAUCCAGUAAUGAGUGGGUUUGUAGCACAAAGCUUCAAGAUAAGAAGGUGAUAGAAGAAGACAAUGUAAAGCAAAUGAAGAAGCAGACAUUAGCUUGGCAUCUACUGCUGCAGCGCCUGCACACCGUCAUCUUCAAUGUGUUUGUGUUUAUCUGCACAGUGCC